rnacentral:tRNA from 1 species
GGGCUGGUCGUCUAGUCUGGUAGGAUACGGCUAAGCGCGUCCAAUCCCUUGGCAAAGAAAUCCAGACUGGGAGAGGUCGGGGGUUCGAAUCCCCCCCAGUCCA